ACGGCCGUACCAUGCUGAAUAUACCGGUUCUCGUUAGAUCACCGAAGUCAAGCAUCAUUGGGCGCGGUCAGAACUUGGGUGGGUGACCACCUGGGAACAUGCGUGUCGU
rnacentral:rRNA from 1 species